UACGGAGGGUGCAAGCGUUGUUCGGAAUUACUGGGCGUAAAGCGCACGUAGGCGGCGAUUUAAGUCAGAGGUGAAAGCCCGGGGCUCAACCCCGGAAUAGCCUUUGAGACUGGAUUGCUAGAAUCUUGGAGAGGCGAGUGGAAUUCCGAGUGUAGAGGUGAAAUUCGUAGAUAUUCGGAAGAACACCAGUGGCGAAGGCGGCUCGCUGGACAAGUAUUGACGCUGAGGUGCGAAAGCGUGGGGAGCAAACAGG
rnacentral:rRNA from 1 species